rnacentral:ncRNA from 1 species
GAAAAGGCGUUGAAGAGGAAAAGUAAGUUAAACCCAGUAUUUAGAGAGGGCAUGCCGUGGCUGAAAGCAUAUCCAUAUAUGGAUAACUGAAAACUACCUUGGAGCUGUUUCUUAGUAACCUUAGGUGAAAGGAAAAACGGUGACUCGUUAUCGUCAUUUGAGAUGGAUUACAUAUCAAAUUAGGUGGAACCGCGGGAACUCAACCUCUCGUCCUAUAU